rnacentral:rRNA from 1 species
GUGGGGAAUAUUGGACAAUGGGCGAAAGCCUGAUCCAGCAAUGCCGCGUGAGUGAUGAAGGCCUUAGGGUUGUAAAGCUCUUUUACCCGGGAUGAUAAUGACAGUACCGGGAGAAUAAGCCCCGGCUAACUCCGUGCCAGCAGCCGCGGUAAUACGGAGGGGGCUAGCGUUGUUCGGAAUUACUGGGCGUAAAGCGCACGUAGGCGGUUAUUCAAGUCAGAGUUGAAAGCCCGGAGCUCAAAUCCGGAAUUGCCUUUGAAACUAGAUAACUUGAACACGUGAGAGGUGGUUGGAAUUCCGAGUGUAGAGGUGAAAUUCGUAGAUAUUCGGAAGAACACCAGUGGCGAAGGCGGCUCACUGGACCGUUGUUGACGCUGAGGUGCGAAAGCGUGGGGAGCAAACAGGAUUAGAAACCCCUGUAGUCC